rnacentral:rRNA from 1 species
CAGCCGUAAACUAUGCGCGUUAGGUGUAUCGGUGACCACGAGUUACCGAGGUGCCGAAGGGAAACCGUGAAACGUGCCGCCUGGGAAGUACGGUCGCAAGGCUGAAACCUAAAGGAAUUGGCGGGGGAGCACCACAACAGGUGGAGCCUGCGGUUUAAUUGGACUCAACGCCGGGAAGCUCACCGGAUAGGACAGCAGAAUGAUUGCCGGGCUGAAGACCCUGCAUGACUAGCUGAGAGGUGGUGCAUGGCGUCAGUGACU